UACGAAGGGGGCUAGCGUUGCUCGGAAUCACUGGGCGUAAAGGGCGCGUAGGCGGCCAUUCAAGUCGGGGGUGAAAGCCUGUGGCUCAACCACAGAAUUGCCUUCGAUACUGUUUGGCUUGAGUUUGGUAGAGGUUGGUGGAACUGCGAGUGUAGAGGUGAAAUUCGUAGAUAUUCGCAAGAGCACCAGUGGCGAAGGCGGCCAACUGGACCAACACUGACGCUGAGGCGCGAAAGCGUGGGGAGCAAACAGG
rnacentral:rRNA from 1 species